rnacentral:rRNA from 1 species
GAUGAACGCUGGCGGCGUGCCUAAUACAUGCAAGUCGAGCGAACAGACGAGGAGCUUGCUCCUCUGACGUUAGCGGCGGACGGGUGAGUAACACGUGGAUAACCUACCUAUAAGACUGGGAUAACUUCGGGAAACCGGAGCUAAUACCGGAUAAUAUAUUGAACCGCAUGGUUCAAUAGUGAAAGACGGUUUUGCUGUCACUUAUAGAUGGAUCCGCGCCGCAUUAGCUAGUUGGUAAGGUAACGGCUUACCAAGGCAACGAUGCGUAGCCGACCUGAGAGGGUGAUCGGCCACACUGGAACUGAGACACGGUCCAGACUCCUACGGGAGGCAGCAGUAGGGAAUCUUCCGCAAUGGGCGAAAGCCUGACGGAGCAACGCCGCGUGAAUGAUGAAGGUCUUCGGAUCGUAAAACUCUGUUAUUAGGGAAGAACAAAUGUGUAAGUAACUAUGCACGUCUUGACGGUACCUAAUCAGAAAGCCACGGCUAACUACGCG